AAUAUUUACAACAUAUAUUCAUGUCAUAUCUAAUUGUUUAGUAACCAAUCAACUGUAUAAAUACAAUGCAAACAUCUUUCAUUUAAAACACAACAGUCUUUUGUUGCCUUUCACACCUUCACACCUCUGUUAAAUUUAUACCAAAGUAAAUAACAACUUUUAUGGUGCUAACAAUAUCACUUUUUUCACUUGAAAUGGAAUUUUUUAAAAUAGAAGAAAUUAAUUAGUGUUUAUUUUGCUCUUUUACUAGUAAAUACAAAGUAAUAAAAGAUUUUAAUAAGGAUAUUUUAGGGUAAAGAGUUAUUGAGUCUGUUUAUCUUAAUUUAAUUUUUACUUAAAGUCUUUGGUGCUUUUUAUGAUGAAAACUAUGUUAACAUUUGAAGGAAUAUUGCAGCAAAUUAUCUUUAGAUUUGAUAACUUACUUUUCACAAAAAUAAAAUAUAGUUAAUGUAAUUUACAGCUAUAUUUUAUGAGAAAAAUUUUCGUUGUUUAAGUUAUGUCUGAUCCGCGAUGGCCCCAACCGGACACCGUAGUGAAACUUGUAUUAUCUCUCAUUAAAAUGGUGUUCAGCUAGCGCAUUGUGUGUUUGUUCCUGAUUCACGUACGGAAAGACCUUUUGCUAGGAAUCAUGCAGGCCUGUAAGGCAAGCAAUGUCCUUUACAAAUUGACAUUGUCUUGUCUGAAGUGACAAAUAAGUCACAGUGGUCAUGUUUUUUUUAUGUAUGAAAAUCCAGAUUCAUAUUAAUUUCUGUAAAUUUAUUAAAUAAUAUGUUAUAGAUUCUGAUGGCAGUGAUGAUUUCUAGUUUACUACCAGGUAAGCGUCCGACAUUUCCAGCUAAAUAAUUUAUAUUUCACUCUCAGAUACAAGUUAAGAUAGGCUAUAAAGUAAACUUACAUCACAUACACAGAGCACAAAAUAUGUCAAACUGUCAAUAAAAAUGCGUUAGGACUACAUCAUCACUAAGUAGAAAAAUAUCGCUUUCUUGGCUAAUUCUAACAUUUUUUCAUUCAUUAUAUGUGUAGUGGAAUGCAAAAAUGGGGCUUCUUGACGUUGACGUCGUUAUCGAGAAAAUGCGAGAUCUUUGACGCCAUUUUUUUCCUCAUUAUUUUUCCGUUCAUCUGGCAGUAAAACAGCGGUUAAUUUUAUAAUAAAUGACUUGACAGCACAUGAGGUCCUGAUUCAUACAGAGUAAUCAACGGUAAAAAUAAUUUGCUACCGUUCAUCCUAUGACAGCAAGAAAAAAUUAUCACGGGAAAAGAUUUUUACGAGGACAACUGAUUACGUCAUCUGACAUUGAUUGUUGAUAAAAUAUUGGUGAAUUGAUUCGAUGUUUUUCGGUGUUUUAAAGAAUAUUUUACACCGACAACGUCUGCUUUGACAAAACUUAUAUAUAAUAGGAUUAUUCGGGUUAGGCACUUCACCAUGCACUCUUGAUGUAAAGUACUCCAAACUUUGGGAUUAUGCCCAACAAGUGCACUUUUCCCAUCAUUCUCAACCGGUUGGUCCAAUAUGUUUUAGGACACCAAGAAUGUUCCAUGUGUUUGGUGUUUGUGUAGAGGGAUCAGGACUUCAUGGAAGUGUUAGUCUCAACAUGCUUGGUACUUUUAUAUCUGGAAAGUGAAAAACAAUGCAACAGGUUGCCUAAGUGUACUGUCUUGAAGUCAUCAAGAUAUGGGCACAAUAUCCUACAGCUUAUAGAUGAUCCAGAAAAUCCCUAGGAAGUCAUUUCUUAAGUUAAGCCCUCAAACUGUUAUCCAAAAUACACUACCAUUUUUUGUGCAAGUGCAAUGGAGCCAAGUGUUAUAACAUGUAAAGAAUAUAUUAACUCUGUGGAGGUAAAAAUGUAUUUACUGAAACAAUUGCCUCCCAGAAGUCUUUUUACUGAAGUACAGUAAUGAUUCAGCAAAGACAUUAGUAUCUAUUU